AUUGUGAUCAACAAGAAAAAGUGUCUAGACUACCAGAAAAGUUUAAAUAAAAUAUAAAUUAAUACAAAUAAUAAAUUCAAUAUUUAAAAAUUAUAAAUACAUACUAAUUUUCUUCUUGAAGUAUUUCUUUCUCUAUUUACAGCUGAAUUUCGGGAAUUAAACUGGAAUACCUACCUAUAUCAUAUCCCCAUAAUAUAACCAUGUACCUACAUAUAACAUGAUAUGUUCUAUUUGUGCAAAGUUCCCGCGUAUAAAAAAUAGACCACGACGAAAAACAUCCAUGUUUAAUUAAAAAGUUGUUUAAAAACAUGAGGUGAGACGAUCCAUAAUUUAGAAUCAAUACUCUAAUUGAAUUCAAUCAAUUCAAAAUUCAAUUGAAAUGUGAAUUAAUUCGGCAAGAGUUGCAGCUUCUACUUUGUAUGUACGAGUAUGUACUCGACGCAAGAGUCCCUCCCAAACGAUUUUUUGAAACUGCUCAUCACAAAGAAGGGAACCAAAUAUUUCAAGCUAGCUUAAUAUUCUACAUCAUGGAUAUGGAAACUGAUGACAUAUUGACGAAACAGCGGAACAUAAGCUGUGAAAAUGAACUCCCUAUUGACGCCAGCCAAGCAGCAUGUUCUACGCCAAAGAAAGUGUGUGUUCUUAAAUGCAAGAACUUUACAUCUCUUCAUAGAUGCCCGCAGGAUGAUGCAAGUUUUCGUGAUAAGCUGAGCGUUUUCUUUCACUUGGUAGACGGUAAAGGAUAAUAAAAUAAGUCUUAGUUAUAGUUUACAUUAAGUUUUUUAAUUUUAAUUCACUAUAUCGUCUCGCGUUAGUUUUAAUUAAAAAGUUAAUCAAUUUAAAUGUAUUUUAAUAUAAGAAAUAAAUAAAAAAAGAAUAAUCUCUUAGUCUUUAAGACAUAUUAGAUAAGUAAUUUUAAUUAGUAUAAUUAAACUAGAAUAAUUUUAGUAAAUAAGACAAUAAAUCCGGUUUAAAUAAAUGAUAUUAUUCAA